UUAAACUGAAGAGUUUGAUCAUGGCUCAGAUUGAACGCUGGCGGCAGGCCUAACACAUGCAAGUCGAGCGGCAGCGGGGAGUAGCUUGC
rnacentral:rRNA from 1 species